rnacentral:misc_RNA from 1 species
UAUCCAUCUUACUUUUCCCUGUUUGGCUGCUUAGAAAGCUCAGGAAAAAACUAUGGAAACAAUUACACCAUUCACUCUCGUUUUCUUUGUUAACUUUUUCUUUCUGUUCCGGAAGAAAUAGUGAAAGGAUUAGCUCAAUUUAAAUAUAGUUAUGUUCUUGGUUGAAGUUCUAUUGUUCUUUUCCAUCUCUCGGUAAAUAGACAAGUAAUUAUUAGCUUAUUUUAUUAUUUCUUCUGAGGUCAAGGUGAACAUAGUAGGAUUUGUCUGGCAUUGCUGAGAGAUACUGUUGAGAAAAACAGUUAGUUAACAUAUUAAAAAUUAAUUUAAAAUUAAAUAUAACAUGUCUUAAUCAUAAAUUUUACAAUUUUUUCAUUAUUUUGCAUUGGUGUUAAAGAAAUUAUUGGUAGUUCUAGAUAAAUUUCGGUGCAUAAUAGAAUUUCCUUUUAGUUAAAUGGCCCCAAAAAAAAUCAAUUUAGGCUCAUUAUUUCCCCAGGCAAUAACUUGUCUGGAAGAUGCUUAUUGCUGAAAAUAUAUUUUAUUUUGAUGGAGGCCAUGUGAUUGGUUUGAGCUGUAGGAACUCCAUAUUUCCCGCAUGUAAUUGAAUAGAGGAUCAGGGGAGAAAUUAAUGAAAUAGUGACUUUUGGUGGUUGCCACACUUGAUAGUUGUUGGUGAUGGCUGAUGGCAGGUAGCAAACAACGGUGAUCUAGAGAUGGGAAUUCAACUUUAUGAGUUCCUCCCUUUUCAUGAGUUUGUGGGGUGUAAAAAUGGGAAUUCAUUUUUCUUGAAAUUGGUUUACUUUUCCUUCAAUUAGGAAAAUAUUUUUUAUUGAACUAUGUUUGAAUGUACCUCAAACACCAGGAGAUGUAUAAUAUUUUUCACAAGACAUACAGAGCCUUAGAAUUAUUACUGUUAUUGUACAGCAUGAUUGAAAUGAACUUCAUUAUUGCUUUAACCGUUUUUAUAUUUCCUUAUAUAUAUAUAUAUAUACACACAUUCCUUUUGGCAAUAGAGUAAUUUCUUCUUCUUUGUAGUGCAAACACUUGAUUAAGAGUCACUAUUAUUAGUAUUUGCGAAGACUGAGUUGCAAUGAGCACUGAACUAAAAUUUUGUAUAAUUUACUGAGCAUUUGAAAGCCUAUUUUGGUGUUCUAAUAGUUCAAACUCUCACAUCCUCCUUCCCUUUCGCUUGUAAUUGUAGAGUUUGUAUUCAAUUUAAUUCUUUGUGGUGGUUACAUUUUACAUACUGGAGAUACCAUAUUUCUGGUUAAAGAAAAAUAAUUAGAUAUUGAAUUUUCUCUAUCACACUAUUAUAUAUAAUUAAUGAGAUUGGUAAGUUUUCUGUGGCUGUAAUUACCAUUAGAGGGUGAUACUUUCGUCAAAUUUCUGCUCAAAUAAUUAGAGUUGAUCUUAUGCAGGUUAAUUGCAUUAUUUUAGGUAGUCUUGUUACGAGAGAGACACUUCUCUAAGUAUGGAAAAUGAGGAUGUGAUUAGGCUUCCUGUUUCUGGUAAUUCUGGAGAUAGCAGUGAGAAUAAUGAACUUCACAAGUCCGAAUCUGGUUCAGGUGAAGCUGAUUCUCAACCUAGGGUUUAUGAGGCUGAAGAAGGAACAAGAGAUGGGGACAAUUUGGGGCUUUAUGAAGUUGAUAUUGGAACUGGAAAAGGAGCAAGAGUUCUAGAGAAUUUGGGGCUCAAUGAAGAUGAUAUUGGAACUGAAGAACGGACGACAAGAUUGGAAAAUUCAGUACUUGAUGCUGUAAGAAAAGAAGGCACAACAGAUCAGGAUAGUUUGGUGUUCAAUCAAGUGGAUGUCAGAAAUGAAGAUGGGCAGCAGUUUCCAGUGGAAACAGAUGUUGACAUGGAUGUGGUUGAUUCACCUGUCAUGCAAGUGAAAAUUGAAGUGGCUGACACUGUUACAGUUUCUGAGAACCUUAGUGGCUUUGGUUUUCAAUUAAGUUCUCAGAAUGAUUGUCCCAAUAACCAAAAUAAGAGUCUUAUCCAUAGCCACAUGAUGAAUGGUGGUCGUAUCCUGCUUUGGCAUCCAAUAUUUUUAUUUUUUGUUAUGUUAUUUAUUUAUUAUAAUAAACCUCUUUUUUGCAUAUUCUCCAACUCAACCUUAUAUGGACUUUUUAGUUAUAGAACUCAAACACAAAUGAGCUUUGUAUCCAGAGUUGUAAACAGCAAAUUAGUUAAGUAAAUUGUCUAUAUUUAAUCCACAUAGUCCCCUUUAUUUCUGAAUUUAUUUUUUGGUUUAUUUUCUGCUUUCCAUGAUUCUGUAUGAAAGCUCUAUCAGGUGUUAAGAGAGCAAGGAUUGCAUAUGAUGAAUGGCAACCUUCAGUGCAUGUCUCUUAUAACUCACUAACAAGGUCAGGGUGGAAGUACUCAUUAUAAGUUGGCCAAUCCAAGAAUUUGGAGCAAUAGAGCUGUAUAUUUUGGUUUCUAUUCAGAGUGUUUACAACUAUUAUUAUUCUGGAUUUAAGGGGAGGCAAUAUGUCCUAUUAGAGUCAUCUUGGAUUUUCAUUAAUUUAAUUCUCUGAAGAUUGUUGACUUUCUACAGAGCUAGCAAAAGGAAGUUGGAGGAACUAUUACAGCAGUGGUCAGAGUGGCAUGCACAACAUGGUUCAUCAUCUCAAGACUUGAAUGAAGUGCUAGAAUCUGGCGAAGAAACAUAUUUUCCUGCUCUCUGUGUUGGUAUGGAGAAAUCAUCUACAGUGUCUUUCUGGAUAGAGAACCAGACAAAGAAGCAGCAGUCUAAUUGCUAUAUUCCUCCUGAUGGUGACUUUGUGCCUCUUUAUGAUCGUGGAUUUGCAUUGGGUUUGUCUUCAAUAGAUGGUCCAAGUAAUGUUGAGGGGUAAAUUACUAACUUUUUUGGUUUGCAUGUUUCAUAAUAUAUAAUGUUUCGAGAUCUAUCCUCUUGCGUUUGACUGUUUAACUGCCUUGUAUGCUCAAGCUAUUUGGAAAUCUAACUGUAUAUAUGAGCUUAUUUUCUUUUUACAUCAAUUCAUAUGCACACAAACAAGCUCAAUUAGUUUAAAAACUGUUAACUGAAUGAUUAUAUUAUUACAAGCUCAAUUAGCAUGCUGGGAGAUCAACAGUUGUAAUGAUGAUUUUAUGAUCAUCACAUGUCGAAUCUAUAUACAUUCAUGAGAGUUUAUCGGCAAGAAAUUGUAUAACCUUGUUCAUUCUUUGGGGAUAACUGGGAACUUUUGUGUAAAUCAUUUUGCCUUUGUAGAUUUUUAUGACUGCAUUUUCUGUGAAGAUGCUUAAAGUGUAAGCCUCUGGUUGCAUGGCCAUUUUUUAAGUUAUAUAUAUAUAUAUAUGUAAAUGAAAAUGAAAACAUUAAUGCCUUUCCAAAGGGUGAUGCUAUUCAUAUACAUGUUAUAAAUGAUGAAUGUGAUUGAUCCUGGGGAAACUUGGCAAGUGUGUGUUAUUGAAUGCAUGAACUCUAGGCUAAUAACGUAACAAGGAGAGGGCAGGGGAAGAUUAUUGCACGCUGUUAUCUUUCUAAUACUCCAGUGGAUUAGGCCAGGCCAUUUGCUGCAUUGCUAUCCUUCCGCUAGACCACAAGUAAUACACCUCUAUUUUGCUGGUGAAAAUUCAAGCAAGGGCCAACUUCUCCAGUAAUUAUAAUUCUAUUCUUUAUCAGUUUCCUGACACCUGCUGUUUCACAUUUACAAUGUUCUACUUGGUUUCACUAUUGUAUCUCAUGUUUUACAUCUUGUUUCUGUUUCUUUAGAGGCCUGGAAAUAGUAGAUGAGGCUGCCCGUUGUUUCAACUGUGGUUCUUACGGCCAUUCUCUCAAGGAGUGCCCUAAGCCUCGCGACAGUGUUGCUGUUAAUAAUGCUCGAAAACAACACAAGUCCAAGCGGAAUCAGAAUGCUGGCUCUCGCAAUGCAACUCGAUAUUAUCAGAACUCUUCUGGUGGAAAAUAUGAUGGUUUAAAGCCAGGUGCUCUUGGUGCUGAAACAAGGCAGCUUUUGGGUCUUGGGGAGCUUGAUCCACCUCCUUGGCUUAACAGAAUGCGAGAAUUGGGAUAUCCACCAGGGUAUCUAGAUCCAGAUGAUGAGGAUCAACCAUCGGGGAUCACAAUAUUUGCUGAUGAGGAUGUCAAGGAAGAACAGGAAGAUGGGGAAAUCAUUGAGACAGACUGCCCUGACCCACCAAAGAAAAUGGCUGUUGAAUUUCCAGGAAUAAAUGCACCAAUCCCAGAGAAUGCUGAUGAAAGACUUUGGGCAGCUGGACCUUCAAGCUACGAUCCUUUUAGGAAUAGAUCACUCCGUAGAUCAAACCAUUCUUCAGAACCAAUUAGCAGAUGGCGUCGUCACGAGCAAAGAGGGUCUAGGGAUUCCCUUGACGAAGGGCCUCCAGGUGUUGACCCAGUAUUCAGUCCAUCUAUGUCUAGCUACCCUCCAAGAUAUGGUAAUUAUGAUUCUAGUUACAAUUUUGACAACAGCAGAGAUCCGUCACCCUCCCUGGCAAGGUCUCAUAUUGACAGAGGUAGAAGGAGCCCUUUGGCAAGUGAAGAUUUUUCUAAUAAUAUUUCAUCAUUGCACUCAUCCUCAAAUAAACGUUCUUCACCUUGGAAUAAUGGCUCAACUAGAUUAGAAAAUGAGACUGAUGAGAGGUUGAAUGAUUACGAGAUGGAUUAUUCAUAUCGAAGUAAUUAUGAGUAUGACCGCUACCGUCAUCGUAGUUGGAGGUGAAUGGAACUGUAACUUGUUGUAACAUUAUGCCAUAGAUGUGAUUGUGACUUGUAAAAAUGUGGAAGAACAGCGAGAAGGGGAAAUCUCUUUUUUGUUGUUAUUAUUUUUUCCUGACAGGAGUUGCUCAUUUCUGCGACCAACAGCUAGGGGAAAAUGGCCAAAUGGCUAUUGUACAAAGAAUUAUAUAGGUUUUAGCUAAUUUAGAUGGUUAUAAUUGUAGUUCUCCUUUUGAUGUAGAAUAUAUUUGGAAAUAGUUGUUAUUUAUCUUUAUAUUUUCUGCUAAUUAUUUUUUGGAAUUUUCUCCUAUUUUGAUCAUGGAGUU